UCCCUGGUGGCUCAGAUGGUAAAGAAUCUGCCUACAAGGCAGGAGACCCAGGUUCGAUUCCUGGGUGAGGAA
rnacentral:tRNA from 1 species